rnacentral:tRNA from 1 species
AAGGGCGGAUCACAAUGGUAGAACGAGAGCUUCCCAAGCUCUAUACGAGGGUUCGAUUCCCUUCGCCCGCUCCA